CGGGUCCUGCGCAACUUGAGCCCGUGAACCUCGUCAGGUGGGGAACCAAGCAGCGAUAAGCGGAAUCUUGAGUGUGAUGCAGGUUC
rnacentral:SRP_RNA from 1 species